rnacentral:rRNA from 1 species
GAUGAACGCUAGCGGCAGGCUUAAUACAUGCAAGUCGAGGGGCAUCAAGGUACACGAAAGUGUAUUGUUGGCGACCGGCGGACGGGUGAGUAAUAGGUAGGUAACCUACCUCAUACUGAGGCAUAGCUGGGAGAAAUUCCAGGUAAUUCCUCAUGAGGUUAUAUGACACAUGUGAUAUAAUCAAAGGUAUCGCAAGGUACUGGUAUGAGAUGGGCUUACUGACCAUUAGCUAGUUGGUGAGAUAAGAGCUCACCAAGGCGAAGAUGGUUAGGGGUUUUGAGAGAGAGAUCCCCCACAUUGGAACUGAGAUACGGUCCAGACUCCUACGGGAGGCAGCAGUAGGGAAUAUUGGGCAAUGGGCGAAGCCUGACCCAGCCAUGCCGCGUGAAGGAGACGGCCUUAUGGGUUGUAAACGUUCUUUACUAUGCGACUAACUAGAUUUACGAGAUAAUUCUAUAGAAUGUAGCAUAGCAAAAAGCACCGGA